ensembl:snoRNA U3 Small nucleolar RNA U3
AAGACUUACUUUCAGGGAUCAUUUUUAUAGUUUACUAAAAGUUUCUCUGCCUGUGUAGAGUACUGGAAACUACGAAGAGGGGGCACAGAGUUCUCUGAGUGUGAAGCUGGCACUUGGUGUUGCUUUGCUGCAACUGCCACUUGCCAUUGAUGAUUGUUCCUGCUAUCCUUCGGAGGUGAGCUGGAGGGGAAGGAUGCAGUCUGAGUGGC